rnacentral:rRNA from 1 species
UACGUAGGCGGAAGAUUAAGUCAGUGGUGAAAUCCUGCAGCUUAACUGUAGAACUGUCAUUGAUACUGGUUUUCUUGAAUUUAGUUGAGGUAGGCGGAAUGUGUAAUGUAGCGGUGAAAUGCUUAGAUAUUACACAGAACACCGAUUGCGAAGGCAGCUUACCAAACUAUGAUUGACGCUGAGGUACGAAAGCGUGGGGAGCGAACAGGAUUAGAUACCCUGGUAGUCC